GCGAAAGCCUGACGGAGCAAUACCGCGUGAGGGAGGAAGGCUCUUGGGUUGUAAACCUCUUUUCUCAGGGAAGAACACAAUGACGGUACCUGAGGAAUCAGCAUCGGCUAACUCCGUGCCAGCAGCCGCGGUAAUACGGAGGAUGCACGCGUUAUCCGGAAUGAUUGGGCGUAAUGCGUCCGCCGGUGGCGAUGUAAGUCUGCUGUUAAAGAGUGGGGCUCAACCUCAUAAGGGCAGUGGAAACUACAUAGCUAGAGUGCGUUCGGGGCAGAGGGAAUUCCUGGUGUAGCGGUGAAAUGCGUAGAUAUCGGGAAGAACACCAGGGGCGAAAGCGCUCUGCUGGGCCAUAACUGACGCUCAUGGACGAAAGCUAGGGGAGCG
rnacentral:rRNA from 1 species